AUUGAACGCUGGCGGCAGGCCUAACACAUGCAAGUCGAGCGAGCGGCGGACGGGUGAGUAAUGUCUGGGAAACUGCCUGUUGGCGGGGGAUAACUACUGGAAACGGUAGCUAAUACCGCAUACCAUCAGAUGUGGCCAGAUGGGAUUAGCUGGUAGGUGGGGUAACGGCUCACCUAGGCGACGAUCGCUAGCUGGUCUGAGAGGAUGACCGGCCACACUGGAACUGAGACACGGGCAAGACUCCGACGGGAGGCAGCAGUGGGGAAUCUUGCACAAUGGGCGCAAGCCUGAUGCAGCCAUGCCGCGUGAGUGAAGAAGGCCUUCGGGUUGUAAAGCACUUUCAGCAGGGAGGCGUUACCCGCAGAGGAAGCCCCGGCUAACUCCGUGCCAGCAGCCGCGGUAAUAC
rnacentral:rRNA from 1 species